GCCGAAGUGGUGGAAUUGGUAGACACGCUAGGUUCAGGGUCUAGUGGGCAUCCGCCCGUGGGGGUUCGAGUCCCCCCUUCGGCA
rnacentral:tRNA from 1 species